rfam:Salmo salar isolate Sally breed double haploid chromosome ssa10, whole genome shotgun sequence.
UGAUUCAGUUGGUAGAGCAUGGUGUUUGCAACGCCAGGGUUGUGGGUUCGAUUCCCAC